UACGUAUGGUGCAAGCGUUGUUCGGAAUCACUGGGCGUAAAGAGCGCGCAGGCGGAUCAUUAAGUGGGGUGUGAAAUCUCUGGGCUCAACUCAGAGUCUGCAUUCCAUACUGGUGAUCUGGAGUCUCGGAGAGGUAAGCGGAAUUCCUGGUGUAGCGGUGAAAUGCGUAGAUAUCAGGAGGAACACCUAUGGCGAAGGCAGCUUACUGGACGAUGACUGACGCUCAGGCGCGAAAGCGUGGGGAGCAAAC
rnacentral:rRNA from 1 species